rnacentral:rRNA from 1 species
UUUAACUGAAGAGUUUGAUCAUGGCUCAGAUUGAACGCUGGCGGCAGGCUUAACACAUGCAAGUCGAGCGGAGAGAGGUAGCUUGCUACUGAUCUUAGCGGCGGACGGGUGAGUAAUGCUUAGGAAUCUGCCUAUUAGUGGGGGAUAACAUCUCGAAAGGGAUGCUAAUACCGCAUACGUCCUACGGGAGAAAGCAGGGGAUCUUCGGACCUUGCGCUAAUAGAUGAGCCUAAGUCGGAUUAGCUAGUUGGUGGGGUAAAGGCCUACCAAGGCGACGAUCUGUAGCGGGUCUGAGAGGAUGAUCCGCCACACUGGGACUGAGACACGGCCCAGACUCCUACGGGAGGCAGCAGUGGGGAAUAUUGGACAAUGGGGGAACCCUGAUCCAGCCAUGCCGCGUGUGUGAAGAAGGCCUUAUGGUUGUAAAGCACUUUAAGCGAGGAGGAGGCUACUUUAGUUAAUACCUAGAGAUAGUGGACGUUACUCGCAGAAUAAGCACCGGCUAACUCUGUGCCAGCAGCCGCGGUAAUACAGAGGGUGCAAGCGUUAAUCGGAUUUACUGGGCGUAAAGCGCGCGUAGGCGGCUAAUUAAGUCAAAUGUGAAAUCCCCGAGCUUAACUUGGGAAUUGCAUUCGAUACUGGUUAGCUAGAGUGUGGGAGAGGAUGGUAGAAUUCCAGGUGUAGCGGUGAAAUGCGUAGAGAUCUGGAGGAAUACCGAUGGCGAAGGCAGCCAUCUGGCCUAACACUGACGCUGAGGUGCGAAAGCAUGGGGAGCAAACAGGAUUAGAUACCCUGGUAGUCCAUGCCGUAAACGAUGUCUACUAGCCGUUGGGGCCUUUGAGGCUUUAGUGGCGCAGCUAACGCGAUAAGUAGACCGCCUGGGGAGUACGGUCGCAAGACUAAAACUCAAAUGAAUUGACGGGGGCCCGCACAAGCGGUGGAGCAUGUGGUUUAAUUCGAUGCAACGCGAAGAACCUUACCUGGCCUUGACAUAGUAAGAACUUUCCAGAGAUGGAUUGGUGCCUUCGGGAACUUACAUACAGGUGCUGCAUGGCUGUCGUCAGCUCGUGUCGUGAGAUGUUGGGUUAAGUCCCGCAACGAGCGCAACCCUUUUCCUUAUUUGCCAGCGAGUAAUGUCGGGAACUUUAAGGAUACUGCCAGUGACAAACUGGAGGAAGGCGGGGACGACGUCAAGUCAUCAUGGCCCUUACGGCCAGGGCUACACACGUGCUACAAUGGUCGGUACAAAGGGUUGCUACACAGCGAUGUGAUGCUAAUCUCAAAAAGCCGAUCGUAGUCCGGAUUGGAGUCUGCAACUCGACUCCAUGAAGUCGGAAUCGCUAGUAAUCGCGGAUCAGAAUGCCGCGGUGAAUACGUUCCCGGGCCUUGUACACACCGCCCGUCACACCAUGGGAGUUUGUUGCACCAGAAGUAGCUAGCCUAACUGCAAAGAGGGCGGUUACCACGGUGUGGCCGAUGACUGGGGUGAAGUCGUAACAAGGUAGCCGUAGGGGAACCUGCGGCUGGAUCACCUCCUUAA